CUGUGAACAGUUUAUGAAUCCAGUUGGCUUGCUGUAAAUCUGGGAGGGAUUCUUUGGACAAAGUACCUCGAGUAUUUUGUACUCUUUUAGCUGAAAACAAGUCAUCUUUUUAAUUAUCACUUUGAAAAUAUGUCCACUGGCUAAAUUCAGCAAAAUUUUACAUGUGUGUUGGGAGGUGUUAAGGGCAGCCUGAAAACAACGCUCUUUGCUCUGAAGAGAAAACUUUCAUCAGAGUAAAGGGAAAUUAUUUGGGAUUGAUAUUGACCUGUUAGUUGUUUCUGGAGGGCAAAUAAAGUGGGGAAAAAUCACUCCUGCCCCACAGCCUGUGUUGGUGAGUAGGGGAUGGUCAUGUUUAGCUCACUGAACAGAAAAGAGAAACUACAGAACAGGGAGUGCCUUUUUCUCUCUGCUGCUUUUGCAGGGGAGCUCGGUGGCUCACAUGAGGUCUGAAAAUCUCGGUCAUCACGCCCGCUCUCUUCCCUGUGCCUCCAGGAAAUAUUCUUCCUGCUGCACAGACUUGGAAAGGGUGGCCAUCCCUGCCUUCUGAGCCACAUUUAUGACAAACUUUCAGGAAGAUAAUAUUUCACACCACCCUGAGGUGUCCAGUUCUGCCUGCCCUCUAGGAGGGACAAGGAUGUGAGCCCUGUGUGCAGCUGAUCUCACCUGGGCUUGACACGGUCAUGAACCCCACGGAAGAUAAAGAUGCAGAGGCUUCUUUCAGACAGCAGGCAGAAAACCUGGCUUUAAAAGAGGAGCUCAGGCAGGAAGCAGCAAUGUUCCAGGAGGAUUUCUGAGUCAAGCAGGAGAGCAACUGGCUUCUUGAUGUGUAAAUUUCAAAGAUCCCUAAAACCCUUGGCUGCACAGCCAG
rnacentral:lncRNA from 1 species